rnacentral:rRNA from 1 species
GACAGAGGAUGCAAGCGUUAUCCGGAAUCACUGGGCGUAAAGCGUCUGUAGGUGGUUCGAAAAGUCCACUGUUAAAAAUUGAGGCUUAACUUCAAAGAUGCCGUGGAAACUUUCAAACUAGAGUAUGGUAGGGGUAGAGGGAAUUUCCAGUGGAGCGGUGAAAUGCGUAGAUAUUGGAAAGACCACCGAUGGCGAAGGCACUCUACUGGGCCACUACUGACACUGAGAGACGAAAGCUAGGGGAGCGAAUGGG